CCUACGGGGGGCAGCAGUGGGGAAUAUUGGGCAAUGGGCGCAAGCCUGACCCAGCAACGCCGCGUGAAGGAAGAAGGCUUUCGGGUUGUAAACUUCUUUUCUCAGGGACGAAGCAAGUGACGGUACCUGAGGAAUAAGCCACGGCUAACUACGUGCCAGCAGCCGCGGUAAUACGUAGGUGGCAAGCGUUAUCCGGAUUUACUGGGUGUAAAGGGCGUGUAGGCGGGACUGCAAGGCAGAUGUGAAAACCACGGGCUCAACCUGUGGCCUGCAUUUGAAACUGUAGUUCUUGAGUACUGGGGAGGCAGACGGAAUUCCUAGUGUAGCGGUGGAAUGCGUAGAUAUUAGGAGGAACACCAGUGGCGAAGGCGGUCUGCUGGACAGCAACUGACGCUGAGGCGCGAAAGCGUGGGGAGUAAACAGGAUUAGAUACCCUGGUAGUC
rnacentral:rRNA from 1 species